CAAACACACGCCGCGUGUAUAUGUAUGUGUGUGUGUGUGUGUAUAUAUAUAUAUAUAUACAUAUAAAUAUAUAUAUAUAUAUAUAUAUAUAUACACACAUACAUACACUGCUGUGUGUGUGCU
rnacentral:miRNA from 1 species